rnacentral:lncRNA from 1 species
UAAAGUUGUUGGUAUAGGGCGUGUUUGGCAGCCCUCAUUACAUGGUAUUAGCACUCCUCAUUGUAUUAAAAUAAUACAAUAUCAUGUUUGGCAAGUAUUCCUCAUCGUAUUACAAUGUAGUAAAAAAUACUUGUAAUGCGGUCAAACCCGCAUAAAUCAAACCCGUGUGAGAGUCGGUUUUAUGCGGGAUUGUAAAUGAAAAAAGUUUGCUUUCAUUUUUUAUUUCUCCUUUUCACUAUUGUGGCUCUCCCUGCAUCUCUACACCGCCACUCCACAAAUCUCAGCUCAACACCACCACUGUCGUGCAACACCAGCUCUACAACCACACGAUCUGCCUCCACACAGCCACUGUCGCAUUACACCACGGCAACGCCUCCAGCUCUACUGUCUUUGCGAUCUGCCUUUGCGACGCAUGACACCAGUGCACGACACGCCUUCGCGACGCUCCACCAUCACUGUGAGUGGCUUUAAAAGAAGGAAAAAAAGAAAGAAACGAGAGUGAGAGCAGAGCAUAGCAGAGUUGUGAAAGAGAAAAGAGAGGGAAAGAAAAGAAAUAGAAGACAGACUUCUUAAGGGAGGGGGUUUUGAGAAAAAAAAUUUGUUUGCUAUCGGGUGGAUUUUGUUAAACUGGGGUGUCUAUAAUCUCCAAAUCUACAAAAAACUUUUUGGUAUAAUUAAGUUUAGGAUUUCUUAAGUACUUUACUUGAAUUUAUUUAGAAGUUGUUUUCUUGUGUUCUAGUUUAUGAAUGUAUGCUGGAUACAUGGCAAAAUAACUAUUCAACUGAUUGGCAUUUUCGUAGAAUUUGAAGCGAUUUAUCUGAAUAAAUUGAUUUAUCUGAAUAAAUUGCUUGGUUGGUGGCUUUUCAGUUUCC